CUUUACUCUUGACUUUUCCAACACUUUCGUUUGUUCAUUCUUUUUUGUCGUACCUUGUUAUUGUAUCUUUUCACAUGUAUUAGUACAGAAUAUGUUACUUAUUGUACAAGUUAUCCCUAUUGCAUACCCUUAUAAUACCUAAUAAACAUUUUUGGAAAAAAUAAACUCCUGCAGACAUGUCUGUAGUUGCAGUUCACACAUGUUUUACGUAAUUAGGUCCAUAAGCUCACAUAGCAUUUACCCACUAUAAAAUCCACUGUAUAGAG